rnacentral:pre_miRNA from 1 species
UCAUAGCAAGCGUUGGCGUCCUCGUUGACUUUAGUGAUUUCUUGAUUCACCAGUCAAUGUUGACACCACCGCCUGACUUGAG